AGAGUUUGAUCAUGGCUCAGGAUGAACGCUAGCUACAGGCUUAACACAUGCAAGUCGAGGGGAAACGACAUCGAAAGCUUGCUUUUGAUGGGCGUCGACCGGCGCACGGGUGAGUAACGCGUAUCCAACCUGCCCACCACUUGGGGAUAACCUUGCGAAAGUAAGACUAAUACCCAAUGACGUCUCUAGAAGACAUCUGAAAGAGAUUAAAGAUUUAUCGGUGAUGGAUGGGGAUGCGUCUGAUUAGCUUGGUUGGCGGGGUAACGGCCCACCAAGGCGACGAUCGAGUAGGGGUUCUGAGAGGAAGGUCCCCCANAUUGGAACUGAGACACGGUCCAAACGUCCUACGAGAGGCA
rnacentral:rRNA from 1 species